GGCACUUUAUUUCUAAACACGUGGAAUGAUUUUGCUACGAAGAGAUAUGAUUAAGACAGCCUACAAAAACAGGAAUCUUCAGCUGUGAACCCUUCUCCAAAGGCUGAAGCAGCUUCUUUAUGGAACAGAUCUCCUCUCAGCUGUCAGAGCCCUUCUCUCUCUCACAGAUCUACAACCAUUCUUGCAGCCCAUGCCUGCCAAGCCCACCAGGAGAAUGCAGCAACUCCCUCACCCUGCUUCUUCCUCCCCACGCUGCUGCAACAGACAAGGUUCCUGCCACCACCUUACUGCAGUGACUUUUGGACUGAGGUCUCCAGUCGUUAAACAGCUGCUGCUCACAGGACGGGCUCUGGAUUUGGGAGGGGGGCUGACUGCUAAGUGGCCCUGAGGCACUGGAGACAUGGAUGCUCCAGGGCUUAGGCUCCACAUUCAAACUCCUGGCAGCAGAAACAGGAGCAUCAGCAGGAAGACUGCUUCAGCCCCAGCCACAGAAACGUGCUUGUAAAGCUCAUUCUCUCAGGUACACCUGCUCUGAAUGAGUGAGGUGCCAAGGAGAGUGCUGGCAGGUGCUGGCAAGUCAUGCUGCCUUCUUGCACUUGGUCCUGUCUGCAUGCCACAGUGCAGGGCAGUAAAGCACACAAAACCCUUUGCCUCCUCUCCCUGCCAUUACUGAGAUCCCUAAUGCUGUUGUCUCAUUAAAAAAAAAAAAAAAGGGGGAAAAAAAGGGGGAAAAAAAAGUGUCGUAGUUGUGCAAACAAGGAUUAACCAACAUAAAUAUUUUCCCUGCUCAGCUGCUGUGCUAUACUUCUUUUCCAGUCAAAUAUUUGUGCAGUUUCAGUGGUAUAAGUGUUGUUGUAACAGAACAUUUUAACAUUUCAGUAAGACAUUCAGGAUAAUCUUUUACAAAUAUAAAUUCUGUAACUCAGGAUGAGAUGCAUACUACCCAAAGACUGCAUGUACCUUUAGCAAAUUCAUAUUAUGAGAGAGCAAAGACGUCAAUGCUAGAAACGACUACUUCUAAUUGCAUGGAAGGAAUAUUGUAGGAAAGAGACGUGAGCUCUGUAAACACUGCUCAACUGAAAUGUCAGAAAUUAUCCCUUCUGCUUUUCCUCCCCUUAGAGCACAAAGAGCACAGAGGAUCUAAUUAACAUGCUUAGUGUCUCUCCAAAAUUCAAUUCAAACGCAAAGUAUGCUAUCAAAGGCUUGAACAUCAGACAGAAAAGUAAUUUGGGAUGACUGAGCUAUCUCUACAAAUACGUUAAUUUAGCUCUAAUGGGUCCAUAUGAAAAAUGAAACCCAUGCAGUUAAAAGGACUUUAUACGCUUUUAAGAGAGAAUAAUAAAGUUAUUCCAAAUUUUCUUUAACCUGGAAGC
rnacentral:lncRNA from 1 species